CUUAAGAGCCAAUGAUGUUUUUAUUCAAAAUUGUCUGAACCUGUCUGAAGCAUCCCAGUGAUGCAACCUCUGUGUGAUACUGAGGCUUUUUUGCCA
rfam:Gorilla gorilla gorilla genomic chromosome, chr17, whole genome shotgun sequence